rnacentral:tRNA from 1 species
AGUAAUUUGGCAGAUGAAUGCGUUUGAUUUAGGGUCAAAAAAUAACGUAUGUUAAUUAUUA